rnacentral:rRNA from 1 species
UACAGAGGUCUCAAGCGUUGUUCGGAUUCAUUGGGCGUAAAGGGUGUGUAGGUGGCGCCGUAAGUCGGGUGUGAAAUCUUGGAGCUUAACUCCGAAACUGCAUUCGAUACUGCCGUGCUUGAGGACUGGAGAGGAGACUGGAAUUUACGGUGCAGCGGUGAAAUGCGUAGAUAUCGUAAGGAAGACCAGUGGCGAAGGCGGGUCUCUGGACAGUUCCUGACGCUGAGGCACGAAGGCCAGGGGAGCAAACGGG